rnacentral:rRNA from 1 species
GAUGAACGCUGGCGGCGUGCCUAAUACAUGCAAGUCGAGCGAACAGACGAGGAGCUUGCUCCUCUGACGUUAGCGGCGGACGGGUGAGUCACACGUGGAUAACCUACCUAUAAGACUGGGAUAACUUCGGGAAACCGGAGCUAAUACCGGAUAAUAUAUUGAACCGCAUGGUUCAAUAGUGAAAGACGGUUUUGCUGUCACUUAUAGAUGGAUCCGCGCCGCAUUAGCUAGUUGGCAAGGUAACGGCUUACCAAGGCAACGAUGGGUACACGACCUGAGCGGGUGAUUGCCCACACGGGAUGUUAGACAGGGACCAGACUCCUACGGGAGGAAGCAGUAGAGAAUCUUCCGCAAUGGGCGAAAGCCUGACGUAGCAACGCCGCGUGAGUUAUGAAGGUCUUCGGAUCGUAAAGCUCUGUUAUUAGGGAAGAACAAAUGUGUAAGUAACUGUGCACGUCUUGACGGUACCUAAUCAGAAAGCCACGGCUAACUACGUG